AUCCAGCUGACGAGUCCCAAAUAGGACGAAACACGAGUCCUGGAU
rfam:Schistosoma mansoni strain Puerto Rico chromosome 2, complete genome